CGGCCAAACAGAGAGGAGGUAGGGGGAGGUUUGGUGUGGUUGCCGCGCCUGCGCUUGCAGAUCUGUGGUGCCGCCGCGGCAAGAGCAGCGCAGAGUGGAGUGACCGCUGGAGAUGCCUGAGGUUACUUUUUGAGGAGUGGCCAGCGGCGCAAUGGAGCGGGCCAGGGACCGCUUACACCUGAGACGGACCACAGAACAGCACGUACCAGAGGUGGAAGUCCAAGUCAAACGUAGAAGGACAGCUUCACUGAGCAACCAGGAGUGUCAGCUGUAUCUGAGGCGAUCUCAGCAGCAGCAACUCCCUGUGGUGGAUUUUCAAGCAGAAUUGAGACAGGCAUUCUUAGCUGAGACACCAAGGGGUGGUUAAAGCAGUAUUGCAACACACUCAAGGAGCUGAUUCCAAGAGGAAAAAAAAAAUCAAAAAAACAGGCUCCAUCUACUAUUUGAAGCUUCUGCCCCAGCUUGCAUUGUUUGUAGGAGAACCUGCAUCCUACCUUUAUCUGUAGCCUUCCCUUAGGUCUUAAGGAUCCUGAAAUUUUCCUGUGGACAUUGGAUUUGGUGGAAAAGCAAUCAUGACCGUGGGAAAGAGCAGCAAGAUGCUGCAGCACAUUGACUAUAGAAUGAGAUGUAUCCUGCAAGAUGGCCGGAUCUUCAUUGGCACCUUUAAGGCUUUUGACAAGCAUAUGAACUUGAUCCUCUGUGAUUGUGAUGAAUUCAGGAAGAUCAAGCCAAAGAACGCAAAGCAGCCAGAGCGUGAAGAAAAGCGGGUUUUGGGUCUGGUGUUGCUGCGUGGGGAAAAUUUGGUUUCCAUGACUGUGGAGGGACCACCCCCCAAAGAUACUGGAAUUGCUCGUGUACCACUUGCUGGAGCUGCAGGAGGCCCUGGGGUUGGCAGGGCAGCUGGCAGAGGUGUACCAGCUGGUGUUCCAAUUCCCCAGGCACCUGCUGGAUUAGCAGGUCCUGUCCGAGGGGUUGGGGGGCCAUCCCAACAGGUAAUGACCCCACAGGGAAGAGGCACUGUAGCUGCUGCUGCAGUUGCUGCUACUGCCAGCAUUGCUGGAGCCCCAACUCAGUAUCCACCAGGCCGGGGGACUCCACCCACACCUGUUGGUCGAGCAACCCCACCUCCAGGAAUUAUGGCUCCUCCACCUGGUAUGAGACCACCAAUGGGCCCACCAAUCGGACUUCCUCCUACUCGAGGGACGCCAAUAGGCAUGCCCCCUCCAGGAAUGAGACCCCCUCCACCAGGAAUUAGAGGUCCACCUCCCCCAGGAAUGCGUCCACCAAGACCCUAGGAUACUGUUGAUCCUUCUUAGUCACUUUUUUCCCUGCAAUGUGUCUUGUGAAAUGUGUGGAGUGUUUGUGAGCUUUUGUCCCCUAUUUGCUGCAUUAAUAUUAGCGAAUAAAUGCAUAGAGCAAUUAAACUGUGAGGUACUGUUGACAUUUUUUGCCUGUUGACUUUUUUUUUGAGAUAAGAGUUGAAGACUGGGAUUAUUCUGGUCUUGGAGUUAUUAUGGAUGAAGUAAAUCCUAUUAGGCAACACAUUUAAAUAAUUUUCUUUUAGUUCUUAAGAUAAAAUAGUUGUGAUACUUAUUUCAGCUUCCUAACUUUGACUUUGUGCACUUACUGGUAUCAGGUAAUAGUCUUUACACAUAAGGAAACGUGACUGGGGGUUAAAUGGUUGGUCUAGGACUCACACAUAGCCCCUUCUACUGUAUUUUGCCAUACCUACUUGAAGGAAAAUAGGGAUGUGAUGCAAGGUCUUGGAAGGCCAACUUUAGAAAGAAACUGUGGUACUAAAUCAGACUUUGUUAAUUAAAUCAAAGCAUUUGGCAUAGGAAGGUACAUCUUUUCUUGGUAAAUUUACCUCAUUUGAUCAGCUUUUUACAGCGCCUUGUGUCUGUGAUCAGAUUAGAUGCUGUGACCCUGGAAUAAUCAUUUACUGCCAGUGAGUAAGUAUUUACUUAGAAAAUUUUAAAUGAAUGGCAGACUCUGGGUCCUGGGAGGUGCAGGGACUGCAUAUUUGAGACAAGUUGUAUUACUUUAAGGUAAUUUAUACUUUAAAUAUAGUUAACAUUUGGGAGUUUCCAUUGUGGCCCAGCGGGAAUGAACCCAACUGGUAUCCCUGAGGAUUCGGGUUUGAUCCCUGGCCUCCUUGUAGUUGGUUGACAGGGCUUGGAUUCUGAGUUGCUGUGGCAUAGGCUGGUGGCUACAGCUCUGAUUUGACCCCUACCUUGGCAACUUCUUUAUGCUGUGUUUGCCACCCUAAAAAAAGGCAAAAAAUGUAGUUGACACUCUUAAAAACAAAUUAGGAUUAUAUCCAACUGCAUCACUUAUCCCCUGGGAAGUGUUCAGGGGAGUAACAGUCUCUUUUGGUUAAAUAGUUAAGCCAUCCCCAAAUAUCUAGGUCCAGUUUGAGUUAUGUAAUAAUGAAAUAACUUUUAAAGGGAAGAGGUUGAAGGUUUCCAGGCUUUAUGCUAAGGUUUCAACUAGACAGUCAGUGAGGACGUAUUGAUCGUAGGAGUUGGUUUGUAAAAUCCCACAGAGAUUGGUAAUAACUCCUUCAUAAUUUCAUGUCUUCUCCUUCAAUUGUUCUUUUUAUCUUUUUAGGGUCACACCUGCGGCAUAUGGAAGUUCCUCGACUAGGGGUCAAGUUGGAGCUGCAGCUGCUGGCCUACAACACAACCACAGCAUCACCAGAUCUGAGCUGCAACUGCAACCUGUUCCAUAGCUCGUGGCAAUGCCAGAUCCCUAACCCACUGAGCAAGUCCAGGGAUCAACCUGCAUCCUCAUGGAUAUUAGUCGUGUUCUUAACCCACAGAGCCACAAUGAGAACUCUUUCUUCUUUGAUUUUCAUCAGCAGAGGUUUUGUCUAUAUUGCCUUUUCAGCUUUUAAACUAUAGCCUUUCCAGUAAUAGUCUUCUGGAGAAAACGGGCCUUCAAGAUAGCUACAUUGCUGCCACCAUCAUUAAGGGUUCUAUUGCAAAGUAGUUUAUAAGCUUAAUGGCCACUAUCAAGUAAGAAACAUAGGGUAGCCAAGCCUUCCUCGGUUUAGGAGAUUUUUGUAAUAUGGAUAUGAUAUUUUUUUUUGAGUUUGUGAAUGUUACAAAGAAAUUCUAUUGUUACUAGAGCCCUGGGCAUCUGGAUCAGUAUAGGUAAAGUCUAUUGCCUAAAAUUGACUCUGUGUAUGACACAUACUUUUGUUAUAAAAAAUGAGGGUAAUAUGAAAAGAACCUUAUUUUCUGAGCAAUCUGCUCUCUGGAUCAAUUGCAAAUAAUUUGCUUUUUUUAUCCCGUAUAGAUCUGCUGGCAUAGUAGCUUUCAGAUUUUGGCAUGAAUGCAACACAUUUAAAAAAGACUUGUUCUAUAAUGUUCUUAACUAAAUAUGUCCUCUUGCAAGUUAGAGGUGAGUGAAAAGAAUUAUAUUUUGUGAGAUACGUAAUUCUAAUGACUUUUUUUGUAUAAAUACAUUUUUUGCCUAGAAUUUACUUGAAUUUUUUUUUGAGAAGUCUUAACUGUGGAACAUACUCUAAGACAACUUAAGGCAGGAAUAUUCAUAUAAUUGCAUGUAGAAUGUAAGAUAAGUGUGGAUAUUUUGUUAUGGCACUCCUAGAUCACAGCUUCUGUAGAGUCCUAUUGGGCAUCACAUACCAACAUAACAGUUUUCAAAUACUUGUGUAGACCCUAAGAAUUUUCCUCCAUUCAGAUGUAUACAUUUUAUCUAAAACAUGGUUAGACAACAACUUGGUUUCCUGGUCACAUUAACUGUGACUUUAUAAAUAUACACACAUUGUAUUGUGAUAUCCAUUUCAUUGUGCUUUAUAGCUUCAAUGGAAUUCUGGGAAUUUGAUUAAAAGUAAGCAUUUAAUAGUUAUUUAAUAUUAACCUUUGUUUUUGAAUUAUUUGCGGUAUUGUUUUUUUCUGUGUUUAUGCAAUACAUAAACUAUACUUGGUAAAGAAGCAUAUCAGAAGUUACAUAGCUCUUACCUUCAUAAACUCAUUAUCACUUAAUCAUGUAAUCAUGUCAAAUUUUACAAGUUCUGUAAUUUUUAAAAAUUCAUGGUAAGUGCUAAGUAAUAUUGUAUAAUUUGAAGAUGUACAAUAUGUCUUGUGUUAUGUAUAUAUUGUGAAAAGAUUGUCACAAUCAUAUUAGUUGCUGUUUUCAUUACCUUACAUAAUUACCAUUGUUUAUAUUUUACAAGUUCUGUAAUUUUUAAAAAUUACAGAAGAUUAUGUAAGAUCUAUUGUCUUAGCAAAUUUUAAGUAUUUAAUAUGGUAUUGGUAACUAUAGUCACAAUGAUGCCUAUUAAAUCCCUAGAAAUUAUGCAUCUUACAAUUGAAAACUUUCAGGAGUUUCCGUCAUGGCUCAGGGGAAAGGAACCUGAAUAAUUUCCACGAGUAUGCAGGUUCAAUACCUGGCCUGUCUCAGUGGGUUAAGGAUCCUGUAUUGCCACAAGCUGAAGGUCCCAGACACACCUCAGAUCUAGCAUUGCUAUGCCUAGCAUGGGCCAGAAGCUGUAGCUCCAAUUCAACCUCUAGCCUGGGAACUUCUAUAAUGCCGCACCUGAGGCCCUUUAAAGAAAAAAAAAAAAAAAAAGAGGAAGAAAGAAAGGAAACUUUCGCUUUGAUCAACAUCUCCCCAUUUCCCCAACCUCCAGUCCCCUGGCAACAGUCACCAUUCUAUUCUUUGAGUUCAGUUUUUUUUUUGCAAUCCAUACAUAAGUGAGAUGAGAAGUCUUUAAUUUUUGUAAACAAAACUUAGGUUUUCUUAUAGAUCUUAUAGAUGUAAGUGCUUUUUGGAAUUAUUUGAAACUGUAAUACUGGUCUAGAAUUUAAGAAGUCUUUUUUUGAAGGUCAAGGAAAAAUCUAUUGUAUUAAUUUCAAAUAAAAGUGGUAUCGAUUUCAGCAAGUAGUGAGGUAAAAGUCUCUGUUAUAUCAUGAAAUUUCAGAUAUGUUAGUCACUUUAUAGUACAUUGCAAGAUUUGUUUUUCUCAUCUUGCAUUGUAAUUAUCUUGGGACUGAAAUACAUGUAAUAAUGCUGUUUCAGUUAGUAAACAGAGCAAUGCAUGUUUUCAUUUAUUUAUUUAUUUAUUUUUUUGUCUUGAAACUUUCAGUCUUCUGCCUUUUUGCCCACAUAGUUGGUAACUCUAAAGGAAGAGAGAAUUCAAUCACUGAAUUUCCUGUAAUGUCACCAUGGAUCCAGUGUUGUUGCAGUGAAGCUGAGAAUCAUAUUAGCUGCUUUUAGGAGCAAAACAUAAAACUACUCCAGGUAAAAUAAUCUUGUUAAAGAAAAAAAAAAAAAAAAAAAAGACUAUAUUGCAGAGGCCUUGGCUCGGUUUAUGAUGACACAGGACCUUGUCUGAACAUGGUGAUUUCACAUUUUGAGCUUAAAAGGAUACCCUGAAAUCCAGUCAAUGUGCCUCACUAGACUUUUCAGAGAAUAUUAUUCUUGACAGAAAAUGUUGGCUUGAUAUGUGAAAACUUAGUUAGAAAUGGCAGGUGUAGUAGUACACUUUGCCAGUUCUUCAAAUACCUAUUUUUUUCCCUUUUCAUAGGUUUGUGUGAGCUAAUUCUUUUUUUUCUCUUUUUCUCUUACACUAUAUAUACACACACGUGUGUGUAUAUAUGUGUGUGUGUGUGUGUUUGUGUGUGUAUGUACCCACAAACACUGUUCAAAACAAAAAUGGAGGCUCGUCCUUGGAUCUCAGAAGGCCGCAAGUGGUGACAUGGAAACAAAGACAUGUAAAAAGCAGAUCACCACCUCUUACAGCAAACAUUGAGUGACAAAGUUCUAAAUAUCUAAGUGAUGUCCAAAAGAAUAUUUAUGGAACAUUUUAAGAAGACGGUGAGUGUGAGAUUUGAAACGUGAUGCCAACUAGAAGGUGAGGAAUUGGCUAUCUAUCAUUCAUGGACAUGAAUGGAGCCUAAGAAAGAUGGACAAGGAUUUCAUCCAGAAACUUUAAGAUUCUUUUUUUGUGCAUGAUAGGUACUGAUCAGACUCCAUUAAAUAGCUGUUUUGGAGAUACCUUUCAUAUUGGAACUUCUGACUGGCUCCUCAUUUUCUAGCUUCAGAUUCUCUAAUUCAUCUGUCUGCCAGUGGGAAAGAAGAUGAACCACAUCACACUCUUCAUAAAUCUGCAGUUGACAUAUUUAAAAAGUUAAUUAGAAAUAAGCAAUAAUCAGGGAAGAGGACAAAGAUUAUAUAAGUUGAUAUUGAGAGCAUCUUUUGUCACUGUCGAAACUGAAAAAUUUUCAUGUUUAUUUACUGAACAUUUGGAUUCAUAAAUUUCAGACAUUUCUUUAAACCUUUGGUCCAUAGGAACCUCAAGAAAUUUACACAGCAAGAUACAAGAUGAUUGCAACCCAGAAUGAUUUAGGGUAGUUUUGCAAACCUUUUUUCUGUUAACAUAGUUAAGGAGAUUUUUCUGGAGUAUCCUGAGAAGUUUUGCUUGUGGACUGCUAGAGAAGUUUGCACCUCAUGCCAAUUUAAGGGGUCCUUGGCCAGGCCUAUCCUGUAAAGACAUUCUUUAGAUCUUUUUGUCCUGAAUUCAUUUGCCUGAUCUAACAGCAGCAGGAGAACAUCUCUCACACCAGUUUUCUCCCCAAGAUGGCAGUGUGUGAAGGGUAUCUACUGAAUUGAAAAUUAUUUGGGCUGGGUAAAACUUGAAGUGCUGGGCUAUUCUGGACAAUCUCAAGUAAACAUAAGCCAACCUUGUAGAUAUAUGUGGACAGGAAGCUAAGGAUAAUACAUUUUAAAUUCAGCUAGAAGCUUUCAUUAGCUACAAAAUUAUAGACAAAAUAAAAAUUUAUAUUCGCCUAAAGCAGCUUCUUGAUUCAGAUAUUUACAUUUCCUUAGUUAUCUUUGGAUUUGGGGUGGAGUAAGAAUGUUUUCCUUGCUGUGUGUGGAAUAUCAAGCUAACUUCAAAAGAUUUACUGGUAAAAGCCCUAUAUAAAUAUAAAUGGUAGUUGUAUGCAUAUGUGAUAAACAAAUCUUAUUCCCUACCCUCUUGGCAUUUUAAAACAAUUUGGAAUCAAAUCCUGUUAAGUAAUUUACUGGACAUAUAUAUCUUAUGAAUUUAUUUAAAUAUUUAGGAAAUUGUGUUUGGGUAAUGGUAUCGAAAUUAAAAUAUAAAAUACUCAGUGAAUGAUUAAUACAUGUGAACUGUUCAUUGGACAUUAUAGAGAGAAUGAAAUUCAAUAUGUAAUAGUUUAUAUUAUUGUAUUUUAUUCUUUACUCAGUCUUUUUUUAUAAAAAAAUAUUAUUUUUAGAUACUUUUGAAAAUGAAAAUUGUGAUAGUAGAACUUAUUUCCUAAAGAAGUUUUACAAACCUUUUACAUGUUUGGUAAAAUUCUCUUCUGGAAACACUUUUAGAAGGGGAUUCCGAGAACAUUUUGUAAGCUAUGAAGAAUUCUAUAUUGUUUAUGGAUAGCAGAAAAGAGAUAGACAUGGGAACAUUUAAUACAUCAAUCAGAAAAGCAAAGGAAGGUACUAGUUAUUGUUUAUAUGAAAUAACCAAAUAUAUUUGCUUUGUGACAUUUGUUAAUGUAUUGCAAAUGCUAACAAGGAGUUUGGUAAAACAUAUAGAAUAAUUAUUUUUAUUACAUGAUUAUAGAAGUGCUAUUGUUAGAAUGUACAUCUGAGUAAUGUACAUUUGAAAUCAUUUGAUUGGAUUAUUGCUUUUGGUUUUUGGUGGAGGGGAAUGUCCUGUAUGUAACUGUCACAUAAAUUUUAUUAAGUCUGCUCUAACUGAAUAUAGAUAUUAUCCUGUAAAUGGUCAUUAUGUUAAAAUUUGUAUGGGGCGAUAUUACCUUAUUGUGGAACUUUUGCACAAUGAACACUUGCCUGUUAAGGCUUUAGUGGUCCGUUAUAUUGGUUUGUAUAUGUAAUAGAAAAGGUACUCUGUUACAAUCCCAUCAGUAAUAGAGAGGACUGACAUUUGAGGCAUUUCAGUUAUUAUAAUGUAGUGUUGAUUACUGAGACAAAUGUCUAGACGACUACAGAUUAGGCAAAUAAAAGCUAGAUAGAGAAUAGAAAAUUUCGAUGUUUGUAUAUAUGCAUACGCACAGAGACAUUUAAAAGGGCACUAAGGCUUUAUUCUCAGAUAUUGGGAAUCUAUGACUAUUCUAUAAAUAAUCUAAUGUUUGGUUGGUAGUUUUUUUUUUUGCCAGUGGAAUUGUUAAAUUAUCUCUCCAUAUUAUCUCAUUUUCUGGUAGAAAUUGUUAAAACUUUUUGUUACAAUGUUAAUUUUUUCUUUAACCUCUAUAGUUUUCUACAUGUAUAAACAUUAUAAAUACAUAUCACUCUAAUAGUAUAGAAAUAUUUCUAUUUGGCAAAAGAGAUGUUCCAUCUAGCCUCUCAUUGUAAUCAUUGGGUACAUCAUUAGGCUGAAUUUAUAGGUUAUGAGAAUUUCAUUGUGUAGUGCCUGGUAUAAAUAUAUCAUUGCUUUAUGACAGGAUUCCUUAUGAUGAAAACAUCACUGGACUGCUUAUUUGUGGUUUUUGGAUAUGUGUGUAUACAAAUAGAAUAUAACACUUUGAGUAACAUAAAAAUCUCUGCAUUUGAUAAAAUAGCAUAGCUUAGAAAAAUUUUCAGGGGUCAGUGGAAUUUGACUUUUGAUGAAAAUAGUGAAUUGCUUUAAAACACUUUUUUUCUAGUUGUAGGGAAAUUUACAAAUUUAUAGAGAAUUUACAAGUUUUAUGGGUGAUGUUAGCCAUGAUCCAGCAGACCUGAGUACACUAAAUAGUGGCUUGAUCAAGAGAAUGUUUUUGCGUUAUGUGUAUUCAAUAGACACCACUGCUAUGCUUUUUAAGCAUAGAAAUGAUUAUUUCUGUGUGUUUUAGCUAUACAUAGAAGUAAACAGUUCCUUAAUGAUUGUCAGAUUAUUUCUGAGUAGAUAAUUUGGCAGCUGAAGUGUGCUCUUUUAGAUGGUCGUGAAUAAAAUAGAAUAUAUGAUGGUUUUUGCUUUACACUUAUCAGGAUUUCUUACAUAUAAAUAUGUAUACAUGGACAUUUGUGUGGAAUAGAUGUGUUCAUUAAAAGGCAUAGUAUAGAAUUUUUUUUGACCCAAUUAUCUUAGCUUUAGUCUAUGUUCUUUGGGUUGUUUGGUCAGAAGUUUUUUCCAGUCUAUUAGAGGAUAUUGUGAGGCUGCUAGAUAUGUGGUAGACAAAUUUAGUGUUUUUUUCUUAUGAUACCUACAAAGGACCUGCUGAUUGAGGUAUAUAUAUUGUGAGUACCAAACUGAUAGACGAAAGUGAAAACAGUAUUUUGGUAAAUUGGAUUGCUAAACUAUGUCUAUUUGAGAUGUUUGGUUGCUUGCUGAGGAUUAUGUUAGUAAUUUGUUUUCUAUAUAGAGACAUACAUUUGAUAAAACAUUUUUGGUUAUAUAAUUUCUGUCAGUAAUUUUAGAAAUAUCUUUUAAAAUGUUAAAGUUAACAGUCAUUGAUUUUAGAGUAAGCAUAUUUAUAAAUUAGGCUUCAUACUGACUUUAACCUAGGUAUUUCGAAACUCUGUCUUCACAUACACACAAACAAACAGAAUUAAUAUUUUAAUGUAGAAAUAAUACCGAAAAAUAUUUUUAUUGUUGUGGCCACAUUGGUGGGAGAAAAAUAUCAAUAGAAGUGUUACAUGACAUCUAUGUGUUUACACAUUGUCAGGGUUGUAAUUCUGUGCAUGUGAUCAAAUUUUUGUUUUUAUACCACAUUAUUCUAUAGCUGUCCAUAAAUUUCUAUCAUAGUUUUGAAUAUUUGCCUAAAACUAAUAGCACAUAAUCAUUUUUUUUUUGUUUGUAGAAAUGUAAUGGUACACUAAGCCUCACAGUUGUAGAAUGUGACUUUUAGACUGAUGUUAUACAUAGUUAUGUUAAAAACACAUUUUUUUCUAGAUAUAGACAUUUCUGAUACUCAUAUACUUUUUAUUUAUGGAACAUGUAGAUAUAACUUAAUUUCCAAGAUGUGUUGUGGCUCAUGAUGCAAUUCAUUUUUCUGCAGAACAUUUUAUAGAAAUGUUUCUGAGUUUGUUACCUGGCAAUAACCAAGAAAAUUUUGUAAAUAAGCAGCAAGAGAAAUAUUUUGUUUUAAACAACUAGUAUUUCUAAAUGGAUUGAGAGUCUCAAAAGGUAUAAUUUUGUAAAUACUGCAUUGUAAGUAUGUUAAUCUUUUAAAAUUAAUGACAUGAAAUUGACAAACAGGGCCUGGAGUUUUGCAAAAUUUGUCAUGUGUUUGUUUGGUGGUUACGAGGAAACAUUGACAAGAUUAUGCAUUUACCCUGUUCUCAUAUAGGAAAAUAAUUUGCCAUUUUAUCAAGUAUGUGUAUUUAAAAACUACACCAUGUAAAACUAUACCAUUUAAAAACCUAUGCCAUUUAAAUUUAUUUGGUGUUUUUGGAGGUACCAAUAUUCCUGAUGUAUUUUAUGUUAUGAUCUUUUAUUAAGCCUUUUUUUUUUUCUAGGAGCAAUUUUAUGUUCACGGCAAAAUUUAGGGGAACAUACAGGGGUUUUCCAUUUACUCCCUGUCCCAACGCAUAUAUAAAUCCUCCUCUGUUAUCAACCCAACACAUGCAUAAUUCACCCGCAUUAUCAAAUGCCCCAUCAAAAUAGUACAUUUGCUACAUUGAUGAACCUAAGUUGACACAUCAUGUCACAAAUCACCCAAAGUCCAUCCUUUACAUUAUGAUUAACUUAGUAUUGUACAUUCUGUGGCUUAGACAGAUGUAUAAUGAACAUAUAUUCAUCAUUAUCACACCAUACAUGGUGUUUUAAUGGACCUCAAAAUUCUCUGUCCUCCAGUUACUAAUUCCUCCCCUUAUACUAUUUCCUUUUUCCGUCUCUUCCUUCCUGCCAACAUUCAAGUUAAUAAGUGACUUGGUUAAAAAGAUUUUAUACUACCUCUUGGAACUAUACACAGUUCUGUAUGUGUUCCCUUUGUUGCAUGACAAUAUUCAAGACAACUUUGUAAAUAGGCAGAUAUGAGUUUUUAAUUUUUAACAUCUGGUCUUUCUAGAUGUAUAGUCUCACAAAGUACAAUUUUGUAAAUAAUUAAUUGUAAAGUUUCAUGGUUUAUUUCUUCACCUACCAGUGAAAUUGAUACACUUGUGGAUUUCAUGAGUUACACAUAUUUUGGAAUCUGUUUCUUGAUUUGUUACAGCAAAGCAGAGGUUAAAAGGGCAGUUUUUCAUUUUUGCCUUCUCAGCUGAAAGAAAAUUUUACAUUUUAAUUACUCAGUGCUUAGAUUUUAUUUUAUUUGUAGUUGUAUUGCUGAUAGGAAAUUAUAUUUCAAUCAUAAGAAAUGUGUAUUUAAAAAUUUUAUUCACUCUGAAUUAAUAUAGUUUGGUAUUUAUUCGGACUGCAUAACACCAUUCAAGACAAUUUUGUAAAUAAUAGGAAAUAUGUCAUUAAAAAGGCUACUUUUUCUAUAUGCAUGGAAUUUCAUGAGUAUAAAUUUGUAAAUAUCUAAUUGUAAAAUAUCAUAAAUUGGCUUCUAUAAAUGUUUUAACAACUUAGGUAAUUAAUAAUUGGGCUUUUAAGUCUUUGUAACAUUUUUGUGUUUAUGCCACGGGCUUUCUAAGGAUAUCAUUAUGUUCUCAUGCAUAAAAAAUGUUGAGAUUAUACACUUUUAACAAACAAAAUGUCCUUGGGAUUUAAUUUCUCUUUAAGAAGUAAAAGAGACAGGAGAAGGUAAUUGUCCUUUUAAACUAUAGAUUUAUUUAUAGUUAUAUAACUCUGCUAAAAUAACUGCUAUUUUGAUAUGCCAUAUAAAGCUACUGUUUGAAAAGCAAGUAUAGAAGCCUUCCUUGUGUAAUAUAUAAAGGAAUAUUAAUUUUUAUAUAAAACAGUUAAGCUGUAACAUUUCUGUUAUGUUUAUUUAAAUACAUCUAUCCAAAAACAAAAUUUUUGUUGGGAAUAUAUCUGCUAUUAAUUGAAGUGUAAAUAAAUAUAUCGUUUUGAAUAGCAGUUUGGCAAUCAAUCAAAAUUUGUGUAAAACUUUUGAAUUGUUGGAAUUUGCUGAUUACAUUUUAUCUAUUCCUACUCAAGUAAUAUAAAGAAGAAAGUAUGUUAUAGGUUGAGUGUAAGACUAAUGAUAGCUUAUUCAUAUGGAUAUCAUUGAAAAACACUGAAAUAUUCUGAUAUUGAAGGAUGUUUUAAGUUGAUUUUUAAAAUUGUCAGUUUUGAAGAAAGGUCAACUAAAUAUGUAUAAGAGGUCUGUCCAUGUGCCUCUGGUUUCCUGAUUUAAAUAUUCAUUGUUAUUACUGGAAAAUGGGGCUGUCUAGAUACAAUAAUGUGAAGAAAUGCUUACUUAUUUGUGUUACUAUAAUGGCAUUCUUCUUGAAAUUUUUGUACAUGUUUAAACACUAAAACAAUGUUUAUAACUUUGUAUAUUGCUAUGUGACAAUCUAAAAUGCAUAUAGGGGUUAUUGUAGAGAAACUUGCCUGAAAAAACAUGGCAAAAUUUUAACAUUACUGUAUAAAGAGAUGAGAAAUUAAGGGUCUGCUGCUACUUUCCCACAUUUGUAAUUUUAAAGGUGUUUCAAAAGCAACGUUUAAACAACGAAGGGAAUUCUAGAGAUAUAAUUGAUUUGUGCCUGUCCUGAUUGUUGCCUAUUGACAUCUUGGGAAUGUUGGGCUGUUGUAUCCAACUUUGUAUCCUCAGUGGCUGUAAUGAAUAGUUUUGAGUGAUCAUGAAGAACCUGUGACAUAGACUAGUGCAGCAGAGUUACCCAGCGAAAUAAAGACUGUUGGGUUACCGAAGGAAAGAAGAAGAAAGAAGACAGGAUUUGAGGUGAACAUGGUAAAAAAUGACACACUUGCAUAUAACCUGAGGAUAGCUGGCAUCAGGAACAUCCUUAUGCAACUAUGCCUAUGGAGUUCUUAUUCUUAUGCAAACAUGCCUAUGGAGUUCUUUCAUUUAUAAAUUUCAAAUUUAAACCACAGGUGAUGACAGUUACAAGAAAACAUACUUUUGCCACUUUUGUUUUUAAAUCUCAGUAAUUGGUACCACCAGACCUGUUGCAGUAUUCUCAUUCCAAGUGUUCUUCACUCCCAUCUUUGGACCCUGGAGAAGCCCUUGGCCAUCAUAAUCUGUGUCCUUUAGGUGAUGAUUGAUUAGGAUACUGAUCACUUCUGCAACCAUCUUCACUAAAAACCAAAAGACAGUCUUCAUAAUGUAUGUAGACUCGGCAUUGAUGUGUUACAAUAGACACUCCCUGUAGAUCAGAAAAACUGGACUUAGAAGGCUCAAGUUCGAAAGUGACGUGAAGGAUGUUAUUGGAGAGAAUUGUAACCAGGCAUGUUGAGAGAUUUCAAUUGUUGCCAUUGGACUAAAUCUCAGGAGCUUUACUGAUGGAGGCAUCAUUACAUGGAGAAGAUCAGCAUGGAGUGAUUGCAAGGCUUCGUUUCAGUGCUCUCAUAAACAUUAGGUUCUUGUAUUUAAAAUUUUAACUUAUCACAGGGAAAUUUAAAAUUGAUUCAUAAAAAAUCGUCUUUUUCAAGAUCUCAAAGGACAUGGAAAUUUGUGAAGUAUGUUUUUACUUUGCCUUUUCCUAAUUCUAUACAUCCUUUCUAGUGUAUUGAUAAAUUAAUAUGCAAGUCAUUUGGGGGUCUCUAUAUUGGCUAUAGAUUUUUCUUUGCCGUAAGUAUGACUUACUGAUAAAUUGUAAUUUGCCUGAAUAAUUUGUUGAAAUAGUUCCAGUGAAGUAGAACUGCUACUUCUGAAGAUAUCCAAAAUUUAUAUUUUGAGUUCAAUCUACAGAUUUCUCCCAACUGUAUAGAUGGGUCCUCAUCAGUCUUGUUCCCCAGGGUCUAUAUCCCAAAAUUAUACAAGUAUUAGCUGUUUAAUCUUUGGUAAUGUGAGAUUAUACAGAAAUUGCUUUUCUCUGUUGUUUAGCUUGGUCAUCUUCAUGUUAUGCUUAAUCUUUACUGGUCACUUGUGUUAUUUCAUUUUCCUUUUUUUUUCAUUUCCCUUGGAAUAUUAAUGUCUGUGUUACUGAUUUCUAAGAAAUCAUUUAUAAUUAAGGAUGUGAACCAUUUGUCAUGCAUCGGGAAUGAAAUACUGUGUAUUUAUGCCACUAGUUUACUAUGGUGUUCUGUAUUUUGGUUGUGUAUUAAAAUAUAAUUGUGUUAUGUUUUA